rnacentral:rRNA from 1 species
UAGGGAAUCUUCGGCAAUGGGGGCAACCCUGACCGAGCAACGCCGCGUGAGUGAAGAAGGUUUUCGGAUCGUAAAGCUCUGUUGUAAGUCAAGAACGAGUGUGAGAGUGGAAAGUUCACACUGUGACGGUAGCUUACCAGAAAGGGACGGCUAACUACGUGCCAGCAGCCGCGGUAAUACGUAGGUCCCGAGCGUUGUCCGGAUUUAUUGGGCGUAAAGCGAGCGCAGGCGGUUUGAUAAGUCUGAAGUUAAAGGCUGUGGCUCAACCAUAGUUCGCUUUGGAAACUGUCAAACUUGAGUGCUGAAGGGGAGAGUGGAAUUCCAUGUGUAGCGGUGAAAUGCGUAGAUAUAUGGAGGAACACCGGUGGCGAAAGCGGCUCUCUGGUCUGUAACUGACGCUGAGGCUCGAAAGCGUGGGGAGCGAACAGGAUUAGAUACCCUGGUAGUCCACGCCGUAAACGAUGAGUGCUAGGUGUUGGAUCCUUUCCGGGAUUCAGUGCCGCAGCUAACGCAUUAAGCACUCCGCCUGGGGAGUACGACCGCAAGGUUG